GUGCACGACCAUAGCGAAGGUGUACUACCCGGUCCCAUCUCGAACCCGGAAGUCAAGCCCUUCUGCGUCAUUUCCUGUACUGUGGUGCGAAAGCCCACGGGAACGAUUGUCGUUGUGCCAC
rnacentral:rRNA from 1 species